rnacentral:lncRNA from 1 species
AAGAUGAACACGUCAGCAGCGUCGUACGUCAGCGGUGUCACUGCUGCGUCGUGAACGCACUCACAACAGAUCCCGGAAGAGAAGAAAUGCUGAAUAAAGUCGUAAUUUUUGUUAUUUUUGGACCAAAAUGUAUUUUUCGAUGCUUCAACAAAUUCUAACAGACCCUCUGAUGUCACAUGGACUACUUUGAUGAUGUUUUUAUUAACUUUCUGGACAUGGACAAUAUACCGUACAUACAUUUUCAAUGGAGGGUCAGAAAGCUCUCGGACUAAAUCUAAAAUAUCUUAAACUGUGUUCCGAAGAUGAACAGAGGUUUUACGGGUUUGGAACGACAUGAGGGUGAGUAAUUAAUGACAUAAUUUAAUAUUUGGGUGAACUAACCCUUUAAAAGUCUAGCAGAGGUUUGUCAGAGUGUUGCCAUUGUGCGCAAGUGAGAAAUGUUAAAUAAAGCAACAUGGUAAAAAGAUGAAAAUGACUUGAUUUACUUUCAAUUCCUUUUACAUUCUCCAAUGUAUUAACAUUAAAAUUUUUCAUAACUCCAUGUAGGAUGUUUCUGUACAUAAAUGUAAGCACUGUGGCAGCAGUAAUGCAAUAUUUAGAAAAUGUACUCUUGUACUCUUGAUACUCAAGUACUUUUAAAAACAAGUACUUUUACUUAAGUAGACAUCUGACUGUAGUACUUUUACUUGUACUUGAGUAAAAUUUAGCAAGGGGUAUCUGUACUUUUACUCAAGUAAUGAAGCUGUGUACUCUGUCCGCCUCUGCUGCUAGUACAGCAGAGUAUCUGAAUGUGAAUGCACUCCUCCCCUCAAACGCAGUCAGAAAGUCAGUCACGUUGUAGUUCAACCAUAAAGUGUGAGCUCUUGCAUUGGGACAAGGAAAGGAGCCUCGUAUCAAACUUGACAGUGAACCGGGAAGAUGCUUUCUGUAGUUCAUUUCACAUUAGCAGCGCUUCUGGGAACAGAUUUGGAUCAUUUUAGUGGGCCUAAUACAUCAUCACUUGCUCAACAAUGGAUCCUUUGUGGAUUAUUGUGAUGUUUUUAUCAGCAGUUUGGACUCUCAUUCUGACGGCACCCAUUCACUGCAGAUGAUCCAUUGGUGAGCAAGUGAUGUAAUGCUAAAUUUCCCCAAAUCUGUUCCCAUUAAGUGUUCCCACUUCUGAAUACUGGUUUAUUAACAUAUUCAUGCAUACAUGAUACUGUGAAGCAUU